rnacentral:rRNA from 1 species
GCUAAACAGCUAGCUUAAACACAUAAAAUCUUCUACAACAUUAAAAACUUACUACCUUAACCAAAACUAUGAAAAUAAAACAUUUUCCCGCCCUAGUAUGAGUGACAGAAAAGGCCCCAUAAGCUAUAAAAAGUACCGCAAGGGAAAGAUGAAAAAGAAAUGAAAUAAACCAUUUAAGCCUAACAAAGCAGAGACUAGACCUCGUACCUUUUGCAUCAUGAUUUAGCCAGCCAUCCUGAGCAAAGAGAACUUUAGUUCACAACCCCGAAACUAGGUGAGCUACCCCGAGACAGCCUAUUACAGGGCCAACCCGUCUCUGUGGCAAAAGAGUGGGAAGAUCUCCGGGUAGAGGUGACAGACCUACCGAACCUAGUUAUAGCUGGUUGCCUGAGAAAUGGAUAUUAGUUCAGCCUCGUACUCCUCAACUCACAAAAAGUUAUCACUAACCUAAGAUCAUGAGAAACACACGAGAGUUAGUCAGAGGGGGUACAGCCCCUCUGAAAAGGGAUACAACCCUAUCAGGAGGUUAAAGAUUAUAUUAACUAAGAUUACUGCUUUAGUGGGCCUAAAAGCAGCCAUCUAAACAGAAAGCGUUAAAGCUCAAGCAGAUAAAAAUCUAUUAUUUCAAUAAUUUUCUCUUAAACCCCUAACCAUAUCAGGCCUUUCUAUGCAAACAUAGAAGUGAUACUGCUAAAAUGAGUAACAAGAAGGGCACCCCCUUCUCCCAGCCCACGUGUAAGCUAGAUCGGACCCCCCACUAGCCAUUAACGAGCCCACUAAAAGAGGGUAAUAUGACCAAAAAAAUAACCAAGAAAAAAUCAUAGCCUACUAUCGUUAACCCCACACCGGAGGGCCCAUAAGGAAAGACUAAAAGGAAAAGGAAGGAACUCGGCAAACAUAAGCCUCGCCUGUUUACCAAAAACAUCGCCUCCCGCAAAAAUCAAUGUAUAGGAGGUCUUACCUGCCCAGUGACUGUAAGUUAAACGGCCGCGGUAUUUUGACCGUGCAAAGGUAGCGCAAUCACUUGUCUUUUAAAUGAAGACCUGUAUGAAUGGUGAAACGAGGGCUUAACUGUCUCCCUCUCCUAGUCAGUGAAAUUGAUCUAUCCGUGCAGAAGCGGAUAUACUACUACAAGACGAGAAGACCCUUUGGAGCUUAAGGUAAAAACUAACUAUGUCAAGAGUCAAAUAAAAGACUAAACCAAAUAGCUCUAGUUCCUACCUUCGGUUGGGGCGACCACGGGAGAAAAUAAAGCUCCCAUGAGGAUUGGGGGAACCCCCUAAAACUAAGAGAAACAUCUCUAAGGCACAGAAUAUCUGACCACUGAUCCGGCCAUAAGCCGACCAACGAACCAAGUUACCCUAGGGAUAACAGCGCAAUCCCCUUUCAGAGUCCAUAUCGACAAGGGGGUUU